rnacentral:rRNA from 1 species
UACGUAGGGUGCGAGCGUUGUCCGGAAUUAUUGGGCGUAAAGGGCUCGUAGGCGGUUUGUCGCGUCGGGCGUGAAAAUCCAGGGCUUAACUCUGGACUGGCUUCCGAUACGGGCAGACUAGAGGUAUGCAGGGGAGAACGGAAUUCCUGGUGUAGCGGUGAAAUGCGCAGAUAUCAGGAGGAACACCGGUGGCGAAGGCGGCAUCCUGGACCGAUACUGACGCUGAGGAGCGAAAGCCAGGGGAGCAAACGGG